UACAUAGGGUGCGAGCGUUAAUCGGAAUUACUGGGCGUAAAGCGUGCGUAGGCGGUUACGUAAGUCGGGUGUGAAAGCCCCGGGCUCAACCUGGGAAUUGCAUUCGAGACUGCGUAGCUAGGGUGCGGAAGAGGGAAGUGGAAUUUCCGGUGUAGCGGUGAAAUGCGUAGAUAUCGGAAGGAACAUCAGUGGCGAAAGCGACUUCCUGGACCAGUACCGACGUUCAGGCACGAAAGCGUGGGGAGCAAACAGG
rnacentral:rRNA from 1 species